rnacentral:snRNA from 1 species
AGGCUUGAUACCAUAAUCAAGAAAAUGGUUUCCCCAAGGUGAGGCCUGUCCCUUGUACUCUGGGCAGGCUGACCCCUGUGAUUUCCCAAUGUAGUUCUCC